UUUCCGUAGGUGAACCUGCGGAAGGAUCAUUACAGAGUUCAUGCCCUACCGGGUAGAUCUCCCACCCUAUGUUAUUAUUACUUUGUUGCUUUGGCGGGCCGUUAGGCUCUGGCUCGACUACCGGCCCCGGCUGGUAAGCGCCCGCCAGAGGACCCAAAACCCUGAAUAUUAGUGUCGUCUGAGUACUAUAUAAUAGUUAAAACUUUCAACAACGGAUCUCUUGGUUCUG
rnacentral:misc_RNA from 1 species